rnacentral:rRNA from 1 species
AUUGAACGCUGGCGGCGUGCUUAACACAUGCAAGUCGAGCGGUAACAGGUGUAGCAAUACAUGCUGACGAGCGGCGAACGGGUGAGUAAUGCUUCGGAAUCUUCCUAGUAGUGGGGAAUAACCUGGGGAAACUCAGGCUAAUACCGCAUACGACCUACGGGUGAAAGCAGGGGAUCGCAAGACCUUGCGCUAUCAGAUGAGCCGAAGUCGGAUUAGCUAGUUGGUGGGGUAAAGGCCUACCAAGGCGACGAUCCGUAGCUGGUCUGAGAGGACGACCAGCCACACUGGGACUGAGACACGGCCCAGACUCCUACGGGAGGCAGCAGUGGGGAAUAUUGGACAAUGGGCGAAAGCCUGAUCCAGCGACGCCGCGUGUGUGAAGAAGGCCUGCGGGUUGUAAAGCACUUUUAGUGGGGAUGAAAAGCCAAGGGCUAAUACCCUUUGGUCUUGACCUAACCCAAAGAAAAAGCACCGGCUAACUCUGUGCCAGCAGCCGCGGUAAA